rnacentral:rRNA from 1 species
UGGGGAAUAUUGGACAAUGGGCGCAAGCCUGAUCCAGCAAUGCCGCGUGUGUGAAGAAGGCCUUCGGGUUGUAAAGCACUUUUAUCAGGAGCGAAACGCUGUCGGCUAAUACCCGGCGGAACUGACGGUACCUGAGGAAUAAGCACCGGCUAACUUCGUGCCANCAGCCGCGGUAAUACGAAGGGUGCAAGCGUUAAUCGGAAUUACUGGGCGUAAAGCGUGCGUAGGCGGUUUCUUAAGUCUGCUGUGAAAUCCCCGGGCUCAACCUGGGAAUGGCAGUGGAUACUGGGAGGCUAGAGUGUGUCAGAGGGUGGUGGAAUUCCCGGUGUAGCGGUGAAAUGCGUAGAGAUCGGGAGGAACAUCAGUGGCGAAGGCGGCCACCUGGGGACAACACUGACGCUGAGGCACGAAAGCGUGGGGAGCAAACAGGAUUAGAUACCCUGGUAGUCCACGCCCUAAAACGAUGCGAACUGGAUGUUGGUCUCAAACUCGGAGAUCAGUGUCGAAGCUAACGCGUUAAGUUCGCCGCCUGGGGAGUACGGUCGCAAGACUGAAACUCAAAGGAAUUGACGGGGUCAUAGCUGUUUCCU